rnacentral:lncRNA from 1 species
CUUAAUUGAAUCAUUCAUCCCUGAUGUAAGUAUAUCGUCUGCAAGUAAUUCAUCACAUAUCGAUUCCACGUUAUGUAGAUUUUUUAUAAGGUAUGCAAAGUUCGUCUGAAGAACAUUGCUGUGUUUCUUUUCCAUCCUGUCGAAUCAGUUCUGUGAAAAACAUGAAAAAACAACAAGAUAAGUGAUAAAUGAUAAAAUGUAAUAUCCUGACAAAUAUUUUAAAUUAAUACAUAUGCUUCGUCCGGGUCAAUAAUCUUACCAACACUCCAUUUCUUAACU